UCCGUCCUAUAUAUUGAUUUUCAUAUUAGUGAGUAAGUAGUACAAUGUCAUUGCAAUGAAGAAGUUGAUAAUAUUAUUGCAUAUAUGUAAGAAAGCAAAUGCAUCUGCUUUGUGUAUUACACAAAUUUCAACUUAUGCUCAUAUGAUAAUUCUCUUUUCGAACUUAAAAGGCUUCUCUAGAGAAAAUUGAGAGACAUGUUCUUCAAAUUGAUCACAAUAGCCAUGUUGCCAUUAAGAUUAGCCACCAAAAUGCUGUAGAAAACAUGACCAAGUGCCUCCACAUGAUUUUAUUGGAAUUGUUGAUUUUAAAAAUCCAAUUUAAAAACAAAACAUUGCUAUGUAAUCAUGAAAACCAAAGAAUUGAAAAAUAACAUCAAAUUUCUUUCCUUCUCUAAGUUCGUUCCUGCAAAACCAGGAAGAAAAAUAAUGUCUUACAUAAAAGAGAGGACACUUUGGCUAAAGCUCUUCAUUUACUGGACUCGGAAAAUUUGCUUACUACCAAAUUUAUUUAUCCCAAAAAUAAAAAGAAAAUACUUUUUGAUAUAGAAGCAUCAUCUAUUGACUACAAAUUUCAAGUAUUUCUUGGGAGUAACAAUGUCACACAAGUAGAUAUGAGAAUUAAGAUGGGCGUCUUCUCCUUAUCAGUUCUAAAAUAUUUCGAGUAGACUCCCUACAUGUGAUUACUUAGGUCAGAUGGUAAGUGUUGAAGCUCCUGUUAGUGUUCGCUCUUUAUCAGAGGUAUCAUGAGACAUAGAUACAAUUCUAAACCUAUUGAUAGAACAUAUAAAUUAUUACCCUGUAUUUUGUUUUUAAUAUAUAACCCGUCUCAUUUCAGCCUUCAAGUACCUUUCUUGUCCAUUUGUUUACCUCAAGUCAGUAACUCCAAAAUGGCAAGAGAACUUUUCAUUGUUAAUGAUAUCUUUGAUAGAGCAUUUUCUACUAACAGCUUGCUCAAACAUGUUGGUCACUUUCCAUGUUAAUGCAGUGAGCCUCAAGUCCAUUUCUCGUGAUUAUAGAUGCUAGAAUAACUAUAAUAUUCAGACGUUGAAGAGUCUAAAGACAUCUCGGAAGCAUUUGACAAAGAAGGGUUAUCCUCAUCCUAGAGAGAAAUCAGUAAGCAUGUUAACUUCAAGUCAUAUGUAUAAUAAGUAAUUACCGAGAAAUAAAAAAUGAUUCAGAAACAAUGAAUUACAUCAAGUGACUAAUAUGCUCUGCCUAUUAAAUUUGUAAGAUUUAAGCUCUAUCUGGUACACUAACUUUAAACUUUAAGUUACGGGACUUAGCACACAGGACCUUUGUUUGUUAUAGGGGAACCAUCUCUAUUAGUCAAGCUUGACAGUCACUACCUAACGUUUUUGGUAAAUAAAAAUUCAAUAUGUCCGAGAAUGAAAAUGAGGACAUAUUCAGCAGAAAGUUUGAAAGUUUAUUGAACCAAAAUAAAUGAUAACCCAAUUACUGCUUAAGGAUAGGGCAUACUUCAGGAAAGGUUGAGAGAAAUAGAAAACCUGAACUCCACAUGAAGUCCCAUUUCAUUAAAAUUCAUCACAUAUCAAAAGAUAGAGAUCAUGCCAAAUCAUAUUAACUUGUAUUGAUGAAUUGUUUAAGGUAAAUUUAAUAGUAGGCUAUGAUUUUAAACAUCCAAUGCAGAAAAAUACUUUAUAUAUCUGCAGAUAGACAUGAACAUAAUCUAAAGCAAAUACAUACAUAUUACAUAGAGUACAAAAGACAAUUGAUCUCGUGCUUCAAUCAUCUUAGGAAUAUCCUCAUGCUAAAGGGAAGAAAUUAUCACUAACAUGGUGCCUCCAUUAGUUGGAGGCACAAGUUAUUCCUAAGUUUAAAUAUCGAUUCAAAACUAUAAAAGAUACUUUGAACAAGAAAAAGAAAGAAGCAGUAAACCAGUGAAAGUGAAUUACCAACCUGACCAGCAAGUGAGAAUAGCAAGAUUCCCCUUGACCUCCUUGGGGAGUUGGCAGUUGAAUUCAUCAAAAGAAUAAACUGAAAACUUAAAGGAUGACAACACCUUUAAGCUUCAAUCUUCAUAUCAAUGUUUGAUGAGCUAUGAAUAACUAAGGUUGUCUAAAUCGAAAUAAACUCAACUACAUAGUAAUCGUGAAGAAAUAGAGAUUACCUUGCAAUGUAUAAGCAUAAAUCUCAUAUCAUAUUUAAGCCAACAUUCUCACCCUACCUGCAAUCAAAUCAGCCAAAUAAACCAAAAAAAGGAGUGUGUAAUCCAUAUAGUGACCCUAAAUAUCAACUCAACUAAUUAAAAUAAUAAAAUCAAAUUCGAAGAAGUGAAAUAAUUAGCUUUAAGUUGUAGAGCAUCUGUUAAAAGAUCAAAGAAUGCAUAUUAUCAAGCACUUCUCUACUGAUCUAUAUCGCAAGAUCCCAACAUUUACAAGUUAUGCUCUUCUAUAUAAUAAAAAAAAAAAGUUUUAGAUUUUUCAUUUCAGGUGAGAUCUAUAGCACAAGAUCCCAGCAUUUAUUGUGAGGUGAUCAUCGGUGUCAGGUUGUGUUUGAUGUUGUUGAUUCUCUUGGUAUUCCUAAAAUGCAAACUUUAAGUAUUGAUGGUGUUUUAGAUCAAUCCCAUUGUUCGAGGAAAUAUCUCGUUUAGUAAAUGAAGAGUCCAACCUAAUUAUAUUUAACAAUUCUUUCCUAAACUAUUACAAUGGAUCUAAUAAUUCCUUUCUCAGAAGAUGGUCAUAGCUUUCUAGAGCAAUCCUUGGUGACUUAUGUUUGUCAUAGUUAAUUUCAGAUUCUUCAAAAAAAAGAGGUAUAAUUUUUUUAAAAAAAAACAGAGAAGUAUAGGAUUUGACUUUCGUACGAUGAAACAUUUAUCCAUACUGCAUAAAGGAAGAACUGCAAUCUUUCAUUUAAGAGCAAUUCUUAGGGGUGCAGUCCUGAGUCACAAACUACUACAUUCAUAUUCACCUCAUUUCUGCAUAAGUAGAACUUGCUAGUAAGUCCACUAAUAAACACUUCUAAACGAUAUCUAGUCAAUAAUCAAGUACAAUGUUAAAGACCAAUAAAUUAGAGAAUAAAUAAAUUUAAAUCAUUAGUCUUUAUAUCAGACAGAAGUUAUCAAGGAUUUUUCAAUUGAUAGUCAUAUUCUCAAUAAGUAAUCAUCAGGAAAAAAAGAGAGGAAAAAACUCACUCUACAUUUUCCUUUUCCUCAAGUUCAUAUAAAUUAACCAAAGCAAUGAAACUGCAUUGAGAGGAAGAGAACUCAAUGUACCAUUAAUCUUUAUGCUUGUGUGUAUUUGAUUUUAGGAAAAUCAAGUAGAAUAAGAGAUAUCAAGUGCAAGUUAGAAGGAAUUUUUUUUUGGUAUGUGCAUGUUAGUCCUUCUUUUCAACCAGAAAGUUACUACAGAGUAAUUCAAAUUGUGCCAAAAAGGAAAAACAUAGCACAAUUUUUUAAAAGGAGAACAAACGUGCACAUACACGACUUUUAUCCUUCAAGAUUUGUGUUAGCAGCAUUAUAUUAAUGGACAUUGCACGAAGAUCAUGUAAAGUUUUUUCCACCACACUGCUUUCUUUCUUUUCUUAGCGUCCACAACUCCCCUGUCUUGUUAGAAGCAAAGCUACUGUCAACAAAAAUCUGAUAUUAAGGCCUUAUGUAGGGGACACUCUAUGAAUUUUUUUUUCCUAUAAAUACAUUUGUUGUAACCUAGAACAGCCCGUAUAUAUAUUGUUCUAAGGAGUUUUUCUUCUCCAUAUUUAAUUCUCCACUACCCACUUCUACUUCUUGACAACUAUCUUGUCUUUGAUUAGAUACACUUAUUUACUUAUAAGAAGAAUAGUAGUUUCAUGGUUAGAACUACUAUAGAUCAAGGCUAGAUGUUGAACAAUCAUGAAGCUAAUGACUAUGUUAAACUUGGCAACUUAAGCAAAUUGGAAUAAAGUAAAGGAUCACAUUUACAUGCUGUUUAUUCUGUAUUAUUAAAGGAUGUUGCGAUUCCAAAGAUGAUCUUCAUGAAAGAUUAAGAAACUACACCGGCCAAAGCUUCAAAAGCAGCCUAGUGGUGUUAGGUUUCCCUCGUUACCUAAGCAUCUAACUUACCAUGCGAGUUUGGAGACUUCUGUUUUAGUUGCCCUGCAUCAUCAUCAUUAUAAAAGUUGAUUAAAAAUUUUAGUGGCCGGUAUGAAGUCGAUGACUUAAGGGAGAAGAGGAAUGCAAUAAAGUCACAGCAAGCAGAAGAAUUUAGCUAAACUAUAAAGGAUGUGACGAUGUGAAUGAAAAUCAUUUGCUAUUAAUUAAAAGUUAGGAAAUUUUCUAAUUAGCUUUAAGCGUUUAUUUUCUUUGUUGAUACUUACAUAGAUUACCACUAAGAGUGAUGAAUAGCAUGCUGCAAAAUGUGGAUGCAAUUAUGUCUCAGACUGACUCGACACUAAGUAUAAUGUGUCAGUUUAAUGCUAUCAGUUUUCUCUGACUACUUGAGUUUAUGAAGCUUAGCGUUGUAUCGUAUAGAUAUAAUCUUCUAAAAAUAGAAAAUAUGACUAAUUUAAAACCAAGCUCUGCAUUUGUUCUUAUCAUGUUCAAAAGGUUCCUUUUAGAAGUUCGCAAAGUUUGUAUUCCAAUAAAUAAAUUCUACAUCUUUCACAAAGUACAAUCUUCAAGAAAAAUAAUUUUACCAAAUAAACAAAAUAAAGUACGGCUAUAUAUAAAUCUUUAAACCUAAACCUAGGAUAAAAGGCAUGUAAUCUGAAGUUCUGUUCAAUGGGAUGUAGCUUAUUGACUGCUAUGUGCAUACAUUGAAGGGAAAUGAACAAGAAAGCCUUGAAGGUGCACUUAUAAGGACUCGGUUAGUAUAGAUGCUUGAGUAUUUUUUUAGAGAACCUUUUAUUUCUUUCUUACAUUUGGUUGUGAAGGGGUGUACGAAAUGAUUUCUGUAUUUUUUCUAAGACGAUGUUAAUCCUACUUCUUACAAGAAAUUGAAAAUCAAGAAAGUCGGAAUGUCACCAUAACCUUGAAGACCAAAGCAGAUGGGUUUGUUCAUAGUAAAUCGCAAUUCCUCUGACCUAAAAGAGCAUACACUAAUAUUAAGAAGUACUAUAAAAAUUUCAAGUGAAAAAAGAACAUGAAGAAGAAUCCCUAUUCAAGUUGUUGGUUCAGACUGGCUACAAAUUGCUUCUUGUUUAAUUCAAACUGAAAGCUAAAUGAAAAUUUGAAUAAAUAAGUAUCUAUUGUCUUUAUGAAAGAACAAUCAUUUUCAUCAAAGAAGCAACCAUGUUACACUUCAAAAAAAAUCUGAAACAAAGCAUCAAAAUUGGAGAAACACUAAUACUUACCCAGUUGUAAUUUCUCCGAUGUAGUUUCCCAUCAAUUUACACACUCUUCCACCUUGAUUAAACUAACCCUUUAAUGUAGUUUCAAUCCCCUUAAUAAAGAAAAAAAAACAUUAAUAGAGAUAGAAUUGAAAGAAAAACAAGAUAGAGUCAUAAUAUCCAACUAAGAAAGUGAAAAGAAUUUUGCUCCAUAGAACCACAAAAAGGAAGUAUCAAUUCAUACCUUGUUUUAAAAAAAUUCAGAGAAUUUUCAUACAAAUGGAUGAUUCGAGAUUCGUUUGAAGGAUUUGCGAUUGGUUUCGAUGGUAACAAUGGAGGGUAGCCCCCCCUCGAGGAUUUGUCCAUGGAGGAGUAAGGAGAUCGGUGAUACUUUCAGAUUGUAAUGAAAUUUUAUGGUGGAGACGGAGAGUGAGAGAGUGGAGAGAUGAAGAUUCUAGAGUGAACCUAAAGCUUCUCGAAUGAACAUAAAAAAUAUUUAUGAUGACUAACAAAUCAUAAUUACAACUUUGCCCUCAGAUGAUUGGUAUAAUAUCUGUUUUGCCAUUG
rnacentral:lncRNA from 1 species